GAGAUUCCUCCCUUGUGGAGUUUUUGCCUGUGAGCCUAGGUCUUCAGAGACAGGGUCCAAUGGCAAGCUGAUGUGGAGGACAACAGGGCACAAGAGAGCUGGUUGAACUUCCUUGGAGAACAAAAGCAGUCCUUUCUGAUGAGCAGAAAGGUGAGCAAGCGCAGGGAAAGGUGGAUGCCAUUUGAAUGAAAGCCUUCCCUCUUGCAUAGAGGUGUGUUUUCCCUAGUGCUAUGCAGAUCAUAACAACUACUCUGCUAUAUCUUCAACAUCUUCAUGACAAGAAAAUCAAUGUUUUGGUAUUUAUAUUUAAAUACAAAUAUAUCAUAAUUUUCAUUAUGCAUUUAUUGAUAAUGAGAAAGGAGGAUGAAUAUAGAACUGAGAGAUGAGAAGAGAAAUGUAACUAGGAUUUUCAGGGAUGCUAUCAGUGUAUUUUUAUACUUGAACAUUCCAGGAAGCCGAGCUAUGUUUGCUUUCAUGUUUUACUUUGCUUUGCCUAUGCAUAUCUUGUUUCUUAAAGGGAGCACUGAGAAAUAUGAAUUGUGUAUUUUUUGAAAAAGUAUU